UUAAAUGGCCGCAGUAUUUUGACUGUGCUAAGGUAGCAUAAUCAUUAGUUUUUUAAUUGAAAGCUAGUAUGAAGGGUUUGAUGAAAAAAAAACUGUCUUUUUAUAAUUAAAUUAAAAUUUUAUUAUUAAGUUAAAAAGCUUAAAUUUUUUUAAAAGACGAGAAGACCCUAUAGAGUUUAAUUUUUUUAUUUUAUAUAAUAUUUAGAAUUUAAAAUUAUAUAUUUUAUAAAAAUUUAAUUGGGGUGAUUGAAAAAUUUAAUAAACUUUUUUUAUUUUUAUUUAUAAAUUUAUAUAUUUUUGAUCCAUAGAAAAUGAUUAUAAGAUUAAAUUACCUUAGGGAUAACAGCGUAAUUUUAUUGGAGAGUU
rnacentral:rRNA from 1 species